rnacentral:rRNA from 1 species
GUGUCAGCAGCCGCGGUAAUACAGAGGGUGCUAACGUUGUUCGGAAUCACUGGGCUUAAAGCGCACGUAGGCGGCUAGGCAAGUGCGAUGUGAAAGCCCCCGGCCCAACCGGGGAACUGCAUCGUAGACUGCCUGGCUUGAGAGCGGUAGGGGAGACUAGAACUCCUGGUGGAGCGGUGAAAUGCGUAGAUAUCAGGAGGAAUACCGGUGGCGAAGGCGAGUCUCUGGUCCGCUUCUGACGCUCAGGUGCGAAAGCUAGGGGAGCAAACGGGAUUAGAAACCCUUGUAGUCC